rnacentral:rRNA from 1 species
UGGGGAAUAUUGGACAAUGGGGGGAACCCUGAUCCAGCCAUGCCGCGUGUGUGAAGAAGGCCUUAUGGUUGUAAAGCACUUUAAGCGAGGAGGAGGGUACUGGUAUUAAUACUACCAGCUACUGGACGUUACUCGCAGAAUAAGCACCGGCUAACUCUGUGCCAGCAGCCGCAGUAAUACAGAGGGUGCGAGCGUUAAUCGGAUUUACUGGGCGUAAAGCGUGCGUAGGCGGCUAAUUGAGUCGGAUGUGAAAUCCCCGAGCUUAACUUGGGAAUUGCAUUCGAUACUGGUUAGCUAGAGUGUGGGAGAGGAUGGUAGAAUUCCAGGUGUAGCGGUGAAAUGCGUAGAGAUCUGGAGGAAUACCGAUGGCGAAGGCAGCCAUCUGGCCUAACACUGACGCUGAGGUACGAAAGCAUGGGGAGCAAACAGG